rnacentral:rRNA from 1 species
GACGAACGCUGGCGGCGUGCUUAACACAUGCAAGUCGAACGGACAGGCCCGGCUUUUGCGGGGUGCUCGAGUGGCGAACGCGUGAGUAACACGUGAGUAACCUGCCCUUGAAAUUGUGAUAACUUCAGGAAACUGGGGCUAAUACCGGAUAGGAGCUCCUGCUGCACGGUGUGGGUUGGAAAGUUUCGGCGGUUGGGGAUGGACUCGCGGCUUAUCCGCUUGUUGGUGGGGUAGUGGCUUACAAAGGCUUUGACGGGUAGCCGGCCUGAGAGGGUGACCGGGCUCAUUGGGACUGAGAGAGGGAGCAGACUCGUACGGGAGGCAGUAGUGGGGAGUAUGACGGAGUAGGGGGGAGUGUGAGGCAGCAACCCUGCGUUCGGGAUACCGUGCUUCUGGUGAUGAACCGAUGUGGACUGUGAUGAAGCGGGAGUGACGGUAAUGGGUAAGGAAGCACCGGCUAACUACGUG